GCUUUAUUGCUUUGCCAGGCAAAGGGGACCAUGGCAGGCUCAUGCCUUCAAGACUGUGCCCCUCUUUGGGAGAGAUUAGGAGGUGGUUUUUUAGUUUGGGGAGUGGAAAAAAAAUAAAUCAGGCUGAAGAUAAGGACGGGGUAGAGGCAAGCUUGCAAGCUUGCAUUGUCUUUCAAAGCUGGAGUUUAGUGACCUCAGGCCUGGUUCUGGUGGUCCUUCUUCCCAGAAUGAAUGCUUGGUCAAGUAGUUCUCCCUUUUGUUGGGGGUUUUAGUUCUGCAGAAGGAUUCAAAGAUAUUGUUAUGUCUAUUCCUUGAGAAGCCAGGACCCUGCCCCAAGGCUGCACAAUUGUCUCUUGACAGCUCCUCCCAGGUCUCUGCAUCCCCUCCCUUCCCUGAUUAGCCCUUUGGAACUCAGGGAAGUUGGCGGAGGCUGUUUUAUUCCCAAAAGCAAGAAGUGGGAGACCCAGAAAUGCUUGUGUCCAGGAACCCCAAAGCAUCCUGCCCAGUUAUACCAGCACACAGGGGCAUCCAGCUCACACCCUGCCCUGAGGCCCAGGCUUCCUCCCUGUCCACAGCCGGCUCGCUGAGGGAAAAGGGAGACCCCCAGAAGGAGCGGCCACAUCCAGGGGUGGCCACAAAGAGGGAGCUCUCAAGGCCCCUGAUAAGUGACAGAGCUAGGAGCUAGGGCGCAGGCAGAGGGUACGGGGCCUCAGCCAGACUGAAACUGACAGCACCAACAGCCUGAACCUAGCCAGAACCAAGAGUGGGACUCGAACCCAGCCUAAACCCAGAUUGGGACUUGAACCCACGGUUUUAAAUUAAAUUCAUUCACCUGUGUUUGGACUUACUCAGGUCCAGGUUCUUUGUGUCUCAGCACAAAUAAGGAAUUCAGCGAGAGACAAAGUAAUAAGCAAGAAAUAGAUCUAUUAAGAUAGGAUGCUUGUGACAUAUGCCAGCAGGCAGGCAAGGACGCUCUGCCUCCAGGAUCCAGUGGGCUACAGUUUUAUCCUCCAAGGGGUGUGAGGGUUGGAAAAGCCCACCUCUUCCUUUCUGGGAGUAGCAGCUCCUCCUUGGUACCCGGUAAGGUGUGUAUUCAAAUCAGCAGAAGGGUGGUCCUCAAACUCCUGGCUCUGGUGUGAAUCUGAAUGCAGGCCCCAUCCCCUACCCAAUGACCUGAGGCAGUUUUCACACUGCCUCUUGUCAAGCAAGCCCGCCUUGUGCUGAUGGCUUUUUUGAGCAAUUUAUUAACUUACAGUCCUCUCCCAAAGUCCCCUAAGUCUUCCUCUUUAUCUAUGGUCCCUUAUGGGGACUUCUACAACUUCUAAAAAGGAUGCGGGCUUGUCCCUCGAUGGAAAUUUCUCUCUCCCAGCCCAGGGAUUCCAGCGACUCCAGCGACACACAGAACACUUCCCCCAGGAUUUCCACCUCGGGGAUGGGAAGGGCGGGGUUGCAGAAGAGGCCAGCUCCAGACAAGAGUCAAAGGCCAGGAGUUCCCCUUGUGGCUCAGCAGGUUAAGAACCCAACACAGCGUCUGUGAAGAUGUGGGUUCGAUCCCUGGCCUUGCUCAGUGGGCUAAGGAUCCUCAGUGACCUGCGGCAAAGGUCGAAAAUGUGGCUUGGAUCCAGUGUUGCUGUGCCUGUGGUGUAGACCAGCAGCUGCAGCUCCCAUGUCACCCCAAGCCCAGGAACUUCCACAUGCAAGUAUGGCCACAAAAAGAAAAAAAAAAAAAAAGUCAAAGUCCAGAGGCUCCUGGAGAGGUCAUUCAGGCAGGAACUAAGGACACAAGUUUGGACAUCUUCAAAGAGUUGAAAUAACCUUUUCUUCUGGGAAGUUGGGAGGCCCUUGGCCCCCACCCCCAUCCCCCACCCCCAGUGCCACACGGUGCACUUCCACCACAGUCCCUUCCAGCCACAUGGCUCUCCGAUAAGAGCCCUCCAGCCAAACCCCGGCUGUGGCUGCAGGGAAAGGCUGGGAGUUGGGGCUGAGGGGAGCAGCCGGACCUCUGCCCCAGCUUCUCCUUUGAGAGGAGGAGCUUUCUGGCCUCCCCUUUCCCCAGAACACCUGGAGGUUGCUGGGGAAGGAGGAAGAGCCAGCGUGCGGAGUUGGGAGCUCUCAUUGUAGGUCUGUCUCCACCUGCUGAAGGUGACAUGGUUACAGUGGCGGUGCUGCACCUGCCCCCACCUCAACGUGGGAAACUCGUGAGGCUAAAAUCACAUGAUGGGGGGGAGGGCUUUCUGGGUUGGAGGCGUCUGCACUCAGGCAGGGUGCCGUUGAAGUGCCUUCUGUGAUUUUAGAUAGUCGUUCUGUGAAGGCACGAAGUUGUUAGCAACGUUUAUCAUUAAGGUAUUUUGUGUCACUGAACUGAACUCGCAUGUCCCCACCCACCCCCCAGCCGCCGCCCGCCCCCAAUAGGAAGCGAUUCCAGAGCAAACACUUGGGGAUUAAGGGUCCUGCCUGAAGGACGAUGGGACUUCCCUUUUCUCUUUCCCCUAAAAGAGGCUCUUGGCCUCUCUCCUCAGUGGCUCCUUCUUAAACCUAGAAAUGAAGGGAAAGGAAAAAAACAUUUCAGCCAGCGAACUUUCAAGGCUCCGUCUCCAGGAUUCUCAAGGGAAUUUAUCACCCAUGCGUAGAGGAGAGACGAAGACUGACCAAAAGGCGAACCAAAGCUACAGUGAGGGACCACCUCACAGCAGUCAGAAUGGCCACCAUCCAAGAGCCUACAAAAAAAACCACUGGAGAAGGUGUGGGGAAAAGGAAACCCUCUUACACUGUUGGUAGGAUGUAAAUUGGUGCAGCCACUAUGGAGAACAGUAUGGAGGUUCCUUAAAAAAUGGAAAGAAUUACCAUUCGACCCAGCAAUCCCAUUCCUAGGCGUAUAUCCAGACAAAACUCCAAUUCAGAAAAGUUACAUGCACCCCAGGGUUCACAGCAGCACUGUUUAGAAUAGCUGAGACAUGCAAGCAACUUAACUGUCCAUCGAUAGGUGAGUGGAUGAAGAGGUGGUAGAUAUAUAUAUACAUGCAAUGGCAUUCUACUCAGCCAUAAAAAAAAAAGGAAAUGAUGCCAUCUGCAGCAACGUGGAUGGGACUAGAGGCUCUCAUCCUGAGUGAAGUCAGUCAGAACAAGAAAGACAAAUAUCAUGUGAUACCCCUCAUAUGUGCAAUCUAAAAACAUAAUACAAAAGAACUUGCAAAACUGAAACCGACUCAAAGACAUAGAAGACGGACUUACGGUUACCAAAGGAGGAAGGAAGAGGGAUAAAAGAUUUUUUUUUUUUUUAAGGCCACGUCUGUGGCAUAUGGGAAUUCUGAAAAGCCAGUAGAAGGACAAUCCCCCUUGUCCGGACUCGGAAGAGGCGACACCCUAAAUCACUCACGAGAAGCGGUCUUGAUGCAAACAGCAAGAGGAUUUUUAUUCCAAGCGCGCUGGGGCCCACAGUCGUACGCCAUGCAGGGGUGGAGGACUGCGGC
rnacentral:lncRNA from 1 species